GUGCAGCAGGCGCGAAAACUUUGCAAUACACGGAAGUGUGACAGGGCUAUCCCGAGUGCCAUCCGCUGAGGAAGGCUGUUACCCAGUCUAGAACGCUGGGGGAAUAAGGAGAGGGCAAGUCUGGUGUCAGCCGCCGCGGUAAUACCAGCUCUCCGAGUGGUGUGGAUGUUUAUUGGGCCUAAAGCAUCCGUAGCUGGCUAAGUUAGUCCCUUGUUAAAUCCACCGAAUUAAUCGUUGGAUUGCGGGGGAUACUGCUUGGCUAGGGACGAGAGAGGCAGACGGUAUUUCCGGGGUAGGGGUGAAAUCCUAUAACCCCGGGAAGACCACCAGUGGCGAAGGCUGUCUGCUAGAACGCGCCCGACGGUGAGGGAUGAAAGCUGGGGGAGCGAACCGGAUUAGAUACCCGGGUAGUCCCAGCUGUAAACGAUGCAGGCUAGGUGUUUGGACGGCCACGUGCCGUUCUAGUGCCGCAGGGAAGCUGUUAAGCCUGCCGCCUGGGGAGUACGAUCGCAAGAUUGAAACUUAAAGGAAUUGGCGGGGGAGCAC
rnacentral:rRNA from 1 species